rnacentral:rRNA from 1 species
UACGUAGGGGGCAAGCGUUGUCCGGAUUUAUUGGGCGUAAAGAGCGUGUAGGCGGCUUUACAGGUCCGUUGUGAAAACUCGAGGCUCAACCUCGAGACGCCCGGUGGAAACCGUAAAGCUAGAGUCCGGAAGAGGAGAGUGGAAUUCCGUGGUGUAGCGGUGAAAUGCGCAGAGUAUCAGGAGGAACACCCGUGGCGAAAGCGGCUCUCUGGGACGGUACUGACGCUGAGACGCGAAAGCGUGGGGAGCAAACAGGAUAGAAACCCCUGGAGUCCAAGAACCGAA